rnacentral:rRNA from 1 species
UACGAAGGGGCUAGCGUUGCUCGGAAUUACUGGGCGUAAAGCGCACGUAGGCGGUCUUUUAAGUCGGGGUGAAAUCCUGGAGCUCAACUCCAGAACUGCCUUCGAUACUGGAAGACUUGAGUCCGGGAGAGGUGAGUGGAACUGCGAGUGUAGAGGUGAAAUUCGUAGAUAUUCGCAAGAACACCAGUGGCGAAGGCGGCUCACUGGCCCGGUACUGACGCUGAGGUGCGAAAGCG